ACCCCCAUCCGGAUACACGUGACGCGCCUCUCAUAUCCGGACCGCCUCAAGGAAGUUCAAACGACACUUAUAAACAUAAGACAUUCGGACGACUUCCACCUCAUAUCCGGACCGCCUCAAGGAAGUUCAAACGACACUUGUAAGCAUAGAACAUCCGGACGGCUUCCACAAAUACAUCCGGAUGACCAGCAUAAACCAUCCGAAUAUAAUUGUCCGGGUCAUUAACUGAAGUAAGCAAGUCUUACACGUUACCACAACAGCCUGCCAUGACCCACGUUCCGCCACCUGCAGAGUGAAGGGACAAGAUGAAGUGACAACAAGUCACUUCCCACGAUCAUUUCACAUGAUCACCUACCACGAUCUCUGACAGCCGCAUCACCUACCACGAUCUCUAUCAAAUUGCCCGUAGGGUGAUGAUGGCCCUGCCACCACCUAGUGUCAUCAUGACAACACAAAAUAUCUCCCCACCAUUAAAGAAGAACAAAAGCUUCUGAUACUAUAUAUAUCAACCUUCACACAAAGAGGAAGGUAAGCUUGCGAUACCUAGUAAAAGGCCAAUUGAUUUAUCUCUCUCUCUAACCAUGGCUGACAAAACCAUCGGAGGGUGUGUCCAGACACCCCGUCCGGACGUCUUUUGCAGGUGGAACGACUGAAUCAAGAACCUAUAUUGGUUGAGAUCGUGCGUCCAUCCAUUUGGCAACUACGUGGAUCACCAGGAACGCGAGGCCUCAACAUUGGCGCCGUCUGUGGGAAAACUUUUUUAUUCGAUUCAGUCACUAGCAAAGAUGGCCACACCUUCCCGAAGCCGUUCAUCCGGUAGGCGAGAGGAAGAUAAUUCUGAAUGGCGCCAAGCCAUCGAAAGGAGACAGUUGGCAAGCGAACGACAACUGAAAGUUCUCCUCCAGGAAACAGAAAGAUUAAGAGAAGAAAACGUGGUACUACGCAUCCAGGCUUCAACUUCAGGGCCUCCUCGUUGUCAGCGUUCAAGAGGCCAAGUAGCAAAUUCAAGGCCAGAACCAGAAUCAAUAUAUCCUGGGACAACAGGACUUAUCCCAAAAGCAUGCAACGUGAGGCCACACGAGCCACACACUCCCAUGCCUCGGGCUCUUCGUGAGGAAAGCUCGGACUCUACUCAUUUUUCAGCAAAAAGACAACACGACAGAAGAUCUCAGUUGUCAAAUUCAAUGCGCGCAAGACUAGGCCCACAAGAGCCUGGGAGACCAAGGCCUCUAGUAGCCACAACCGGGGCAACGCGCCCCGAUCCUAUGAUCAGCCCCGUGGUGCAGAACGUGCUCCCGCACCGUGAUCCCAAGGUCACCCCCAUGGUACAGAACGUUCGCCCGCACCUAGCGGUACAACAAGCUAGGAGAAACCUCCCAAACGAGCCACCCAUUGGUUCCAUCAGCAAAAGGCUAGAUGACAUGCUCUCCACGCCUUUUUGCUCUCACAUCAUUCAUUACGAGCCCCCAAGGGGAUUCCUCGUACCAAAAUUUUCCACAUACGACGGGACCAACGAUCCCUUCAAUCAUAUCAUGCAUUAUCGACAGCUCAUGACGCUCGAUAUUGGCAACGACGCACUGCUGUGUAAAGUAUUUCCCGCCAGCCUACAAGGGUAGGCCCUAUCAUGGUUUCAUCGCCUACCGCCCAACUCUAUUGGCAAUUUCAGGGACCUGUCCAAAGCUUUCGUAGGGCAAUACUUGUGCUCCGCUCGACACAAGCAGAACAUCAACACUCUGCAAAACAUAAAAAUGCAAGAUAAUGAAUCCUUAAGGGUGCUUGUGAAGCGAUUUGGUCAGGCCGUACUCCAGGUAGAGGCCUGCAGCAUGGAUGUUGUCCUACAGAUCUUCAAGCAAAGCAUCUGUCCAGGCACCCCAUUUUUUGAAUCAUUAGCCAAAAAGCCUCCUACAACGAUGGAUGAUUUGUUCCGACGUGCCAACAAAUAUUCAAUGCUCGAAGAUGACGUGCGUGCAGCCAGCCAGCAAGUUUUGGUUGUCGGACGACCAUCUAGAGGUGACGCGGAAAGAAAUGCUAAACCUCCGGACCGACCAAGGCCGUCCGAUCGAAGGCAGGAGGGACCAAGUAGCCCGGAUAGGCCGCCCCUCACGCCUCUUUCCAUAUCAUAUGAAAAACUUCUCCCUAUGAUCCAAGGUUUGUCCGACUUUAGGUGGCCUAGACCCCAAGGAACGGACCCAUCCACAAGGGAUUAUAGCAAAAGAUGUGCCUUCCACAAGGAACAUGGUCACACAACAGAAACAUGCAGAAGCCUCCAGUAUCUGGUCGAGAGGCUCAUCAAAGCAGGACAUCUAAAGCAAUACCUCCGCUCAGAUGCUGAAGGAAAAGCCACUUCCCAACAUCACCACCCUGGAGCCCCCAAGGCCCCGGUCGCCCCCAAGGCCGUUAUAAACUAUAUUAACGGAGGCCCAUCUGACGAGAAAUAUGACUCUAGGCGAAAAAGGCAGAAGUUGUUGCGCGCCGCAUCAAUACGCGAACGCAUCAACUCCAUCCGGCCUGGACUAACCGAAAGGGGGCCCUUGCCCCAUAGAUGGGACAAUCGUUUUCCCACCAGUGGAUCCCACCCGGACGCUGCAGCCACAUCGCGACGCCCUCAUCCUGUCCCUAGAGAUAUGAGACUUCGAUGUGAGACGCAUCUUGGUUGACCUAGGCAGCUCGGCUGAUCUUGUACAAGCAUCGGUCGUUAGCCGCAUGGGACACAGUCUCGCAGGCCUCGAAAACCCUGGACGAAUCCUAUCCGGAUUCAACGGAUCGUCAACUACAUCCUUGGGAGACAUUAUACUGCCAGUCCAAGCUGGCCCAGUCACUCUCAACGUACAAUUCUCAAUGGUUCAGGAGUUGUCAUCCUUCAAUGUCAUCUUAGGGCGCACAUGGCUACACUACAUGAAAGUCAUCCCUUCUACAUAUCAUCAAAUGGUGAGUUUCCUCACCAACGAAGGACAAAUUGACCUAUACGGCAGCCAGUUAGCCGGUCGCCAAUGCUACCAGAUAGCGCGAGAAGCAGGAACCAGCCAGGAGGAUGCACCCCUCCCUGAGCCUAGCCAUUCAUGUGACCAAUAGCAAUUAUUGGGUCCGGUGGAGAAAGAUCCUCCGGCAGCAGAUCCCUUACAAACAAUCCAAAUUUUGGAGGAGAAUACUCACCUUACAAACAUCAGCUCCUCAUGACACCAGAAGAGACCCAGAGCAUGCAAAACGCCCUUAGACGAAACCACGACAUCUUCGCAUGGGCACAUGCUGAUAUGAAGGGAAUUCAUCCCUCUAUUACAUCUCACAGGCUUAACGUCUUUCCAACUGCCAGACCCGUCCGGCAGAAAAUCAGGCGCUUUCACCCGGAUAGACAAAAAGUCAUCCGGAACGAGAUUGACAAAUUGUUAGAAGCCGGAUUCAUCAGAGAAGUUGAUUAUCCGGAUUGGUUAGCCAACGUAGUGGUGGUACCCAAAAAAGAAGGAAAAUGGCGGGUUUGCGUAGAUUACACCAACCUCAAUAAUGCAUGCCCAAAAGACAGUUUCCCUUUGCAACGAAUAGAUCAAAUUGUGGACUCCACUGCCGGGCAAGGGAUGCUCUCUUUCUUGGAUGCCUUCUCCGGAUAUCACCAGAUUCCCAUGUCCCCGGCUGACGAGGAAAAAACAGCAUUCAUAACGCCAUUCGGCCUCUAUUGCUACAAAGUCAUGCCAUUCGAACUCAAAAACGCUGGCGCCACUUAUCAGAGACUGAUGACAAAGAUCUUCAAACCUCUGAUAGGCCACACAGUAGAAGUAUAUAUUGAUGAUAUCGUGGUUAAAAGAAAAACCCGAGAGGAGCAUGUUCUUCAUCUACAAGAAGUUUUUUACCUUCUGAGGAAGUAUGGCAUGAAGCUGAAUCCUUCCAAAUGCGCCUUUGGCGUAAGUGCUGGCAAAUUUAUGGGCUUUAUGGUUAGCCAAAGAGGGAUAGAGGUUAGCCCAGAUCAAGUCAAGGCAGUUAUGGAAACACCUCCCCCCAGGAGCAAGAAGGAAUUACAGCGCCUCACGGGCAAACUCGUCGCACUAGGGCGUUUCAUAGCUCGCUUCACUGAUGAAUUGUGAACCUUCUUCUUGGCAAUAAGAAAAGCUGGAAAGGGUGGAUGGACGGACAACUGUCAAAACGCUUUUGAAAAGAUUAAACACUGUCUCAUGCAGCCACCCAUCCUGAGCAACCCCAUCCCGAAAGAAAAAUUAUACAUGUAUCUGGCUGUAUCAGAGUGGGCAAUCAGUGCUGUUCUAUUCCGCUGUCCCUCACCUAAGGAGCAAAAACCUAUCUACUACGUCAGCAGAGCAUUGGCGGAUGUAGAAACCAGGUAUUCAAAAAUGGAGCUGACAGCCUUAGCCCUUCGUAGCGUUGCCCAAAAGCUCCGCCCCUAUUUCCAAGCCCACCCGGUGGUCAUGCUGACCGAUCAACCCCUUCGCAAUAUUUUGCACAAGCCAGACUUAACCGGAAGAAUGCUGCGAUGGGCUAUCGAAUUAAGUGAGUUUGGAAUCGAAUUCCAACCCAAAUUGUCCAUGAAAGGCCAAGUAAUGGUUGACUUCGUGCUAGAAUAUGCCCGAAGGCCUAACCAACACCAGGAAUCAAAUGAAAAAGAAUGGUGGACUUUGCGAGUGGAUGGAGCCUCACGAUCAUUAGGGUCCGGAGUCGGGCUUCUGCUACAGUCCCUAACCGGGGAACACCUGGAGCAAUCCAUCCGGCUGGGAUUCCCUGCCUCCAACAAUGAAGCAGAAUAUGAGGCCAUCUUAUCCGGAUUAGACCUCGCUCUGGCCCUGUCCGCCACCAAGCUCCGGGUCUAUAGCAAUUCGCAACUUGUUGUAAGACACGUCCAGAAGGAAUACGAGGCCAAAGAUGCGUGCAUGGCACGAUAUUUGACAAAAGUAAAGGACACCUUACAACGAUUCACCGAGUGGACAAUUGAAAAAAUCAAAAGAACCGAAAAUAGACGUGUCGACGCCUUGGCAGGCAUUGCUACCUCCCUCUCCAUCAAAGAAGCCAUAUUGUUGCCUAUACAUGUACAAACCAACUCUUCUGUCACAGAAACCUCCACUUGCAACACCAUUGAGGCAAAGCAAGCAGACGACCAAGAAUGGACGAACAACAUUACAGAAUACCUCCGGACAGGCACUUUGCCCGGAGAUCCCAAAGAGGCACACAAGGUCCGGAUGCAAGCUGCCCGUUUCACCAUAAUCGGGGGGCACUUGUACAAGCGAUCCUUCAUAGGACCCUACCUUCGGUGCCUAAGUCAAUCAGAGGCCCAAUACGUCUUAGCUGAGUUGCAUAAGGGAAUAUGCGGAAAUCAUUCAGGAGGACGAUCUCUGGCACAUAGAGCCCAUUCACAAGGAUAUUAUUGGCCCACGAUGAAGAAGGAUGCGGCAGCACAUGUCAAAAAAUGUGAUAAAUGUCAAAGGCAUGCUCCCAUUCCACAUAUGCCAUCAGAAACAUUGAAACCAGUAUCAAGCCCAUGGCCCUUCGCACAGUGGGGCAUGGACAUAGUGGGACCCCUCCCAGCCGCACCUGCCCAAAAGAAAUUUCUGCUCGUCGCUACGGAUUACUUCAGUAAGUGGGUAGAAGUUGAAGCGUAUGCUAGCAUCAAAGACAAAGAUGUCACCAAGUUCGUAUGGAAAAACAUCGUCUGCCAUUUUGGAAUUCCACACACCAUUAUAGCCGACAAUGGUCCACAGUUUGAUAGCAUUGCAUUCUGGAAUUUCUGUUCGGAACUGAACAUCUGGAAUUCAUACUCUACACCGCGUUAUCCUCAAAGUAACGGGCAAGCAGAAGCCACAAACAAAACUCUGAUCACCACCUUAAAGAAAAGGCUCGAACAAGCCAAAGGAAAGUGGGUAGAAGAGUUGCCCGUCGUUCUGUGGGCCUAUCGAACCACACUCGGACGGCCAACAGGAAACACUCCCUUCGCCCUCGCAUACGGAAUGGAUGCAGUCAUUCCUAUCGAAAUUGGGUUACCCACUAUCCGGACUGAGGCAGCGGAACAGGGUGAUGCAAGCAUGGAGUUAGGAAGAAACUUGGAUUGGGCAGAUGAAGUAAGAGAAAGCGCAGCCAUCCAGCUGGAAGACUAUCAACAAAGAGCAUCCGCUCAUUACAAUCGCAAGGUACGACCUAGAAGCUUCAAAAAUGGUACGCUGGUACUUAGAAAAGUUUUUGAAAAUACAGCUGACACAGGGGCAGGUAAAUUCCAAGCCAACUGGGAAGGACCCUAUGUAGUAUCUAAGUCAAGUGAAAAUGGAGCUUAUCAUCUACAAAAGCUAGACAGAAUUCCAUUACUCAGACCAUGGAAUGUUUCGAAUUUAAAGCAAUAUUAUCAAUAAAAGAAAGAGACAAAUACAAAUGUCAAAAAAUGUAUGUUUUAUUGAUAUUUGUAAAGUGUGUACAAGGAGGUCUUCGGACUACAAAAGUUACAGAGACAAGAUAGCAGCAAAGAUUACAAAAGAAAAAAACUAUCAGGGAGCGGGCUUGUCAAGUAGCUUCUUCUCUUCACCCGGAGGAAUUGAAAGGACAUCCCGUUUAAUGCCAUUCUUCUUCAUACAGCAGCGAUAGCCGAAGAAGAACAUAUCAUCCACUUGCUUUUGGUAGUCCGCUUCAAGCUCCUCCCACUCUGCAGCAAACUCACCCUCUAGCUCUUCUUUUUGCACUGAUAAGCGCAGCUGCAAAUCUUCCCUCUGCUUCUUUUCAAUAGAAAUCUCCGUCCGGAAUUGCCUCACCUCCCCCCUCAGAAGAGCCAUCUCAUCCUCCGCCUCAUGCAAGCGGGCAUCCGUCGACUCCUCCCGACUCUUUGCCUCAGCCAACUCUGCCUGGAGAGCCGCAUUGUCCUCCCGAGCGAUGGAUAAACUAGCUUCAGCUUCUUCCAGUCUCAAGCGCAGUUGAUUUUCACUAUCUUUGCGCUGAGAAGCAAAAGCCUUCAUGUAAUCAGCAGUCCGCAGCAAGUCAGUGAAUAGAUCAUGUUGCUGGACCAUGCCGCGCAGACCGCUCACCAGCUACAAACAAAACACACAAACAAGAGAAGCAGAGUUACAAACCAUACCAUAAACACAUCAAUAUGACAAAAGACAAUCAAGAAAUAUACUAUACCGUUUCCACCACUUCGAACAUCUUUGUUGAAGGCAUGGCAGUGGUCGAGCCGGGUGGAAUCUGUUUUAGCUUCUCUUCUAACUCCGCGUAGCUAAAAGAGCCAGCGGAGAUGCAAGCCGCAUCAUCAACAAGAUCCCCCCCUGAUGAGGUGUUAGAGAGUAAAUCCUCCUCCGGAUCCAGAGCCCCCUCAUUUGCAGUCGGAUGGGUCUCGUCGAGCAUACCCUCAUCCGGGGCCACCAUCGGGACGGCUGGGGUCUCAGUUGUCGUCUCCGUCUCGCUCCCAUCCUGAUGGUCAUCCUGGACGGAGGAGCAGCUGACUUCGAGGGUUUCUUGGAAGCGAUCUUGCAGCCGCCCGAUGAGGCCAGACUUUAGGUUCCGCGCCGAACUCGGCCUCCUUGAAGUUGGCCCCUUCACCGGAGGAAUGGCAGGAAGGCUUGGCCCGACUGAUGGCAGACUCUGGUUUUCUGCCCCCGUCUCCUCCAUAGGUGUCGCCAUGAGAGGCGACACAUCCGCGCAAACAGCCUCGACCGCGCCCGCAUCUGGAUGGGGAGAGCCGGGUGUAUUUAUUGACGCAACUUCCUCGGCCAAAAUAGCCAAACGGGCAGCCGCUGACAAGGAGGGCCCCGAAUGGUUUAGACCCGCGACGUGUCCGGGGCCACUUGAGAUAGAGGGAGGAAGAGGAUUUUCGGGCUCCUUUAUUAUUACCUCCACCUCAUAGGUAAUAGGAGGGAUUACAAACUCCUUUGGCGGAGUGGGAAUUUUCACUGCCUUCCCCUUCUCAGUAACCUUCCCCUUCUUGGUCACCUUCCCCUUCUUCUUCGCUGGAGCGCCAGUCGGAGAAGGUGCGGAACUUUUACCACCCGGUGUCUUCCGCAAGAGCCCUUCUUUUAUUUUAUCCUCCCAAUCAGUAAGACAGGCUUUGCGUGUCUGGGCAUCUACCUCCUGCACCACCGCGUAGAAAGGCAAAUCUUGAAGGACAAAAUGCUCCCCGGCUACAACUUCUUCAGGCAGCCGCCUGGGGAGUAUGUUCAUCACAUACGGAUGUGGCUCCUUUAUGACCGAACGGAGAUUCUAUGCAGAAAGCAGCAUUUCGCAACUCCGCUCGGCCGCCGCAAUCUCGAAGAGGCUAUUCAAGCGAUCGAACGAGGCCUUCUCCACCCAUUCUACCAAUUUCCCCCUUUUAUUCUAACCUACACCCAAGAAAGCAAAAGUAUGUCAGCAACCCAACUAUAUUGACCUAAACUCGCAAGACAUGGAAAAAACAAAAGAUAGUCUAACCAUACCAGGGACCUUCAGCGAUCGGUUGGGGGCAAAGGGCUUGUCCGGGUGCGUCCCUAAACCCGCCCAUAUGCCCCUCACCAGCACAUGGCCCUUGGCACCUCCCUUGGUUGAGUCCGGCAGGCUGUUCACCAAAUGCAUGGACGGCAGGCAAGCGACAAAACUAAAAAUAUCAGUCUUCAGCUUCUUGAUCGAGUAGAUAAACAACACCUCCAGUAGAGUAAUGUCCAAAUUGAACAACAUGCUCAGGACGCUGCACCCCAUCAACACCCGGACCAUAUUCGGAUGCAUAUACGCCGGGGGAAUCUGGGUGAAAUACAAGAAUUCCUUGAACAAGGACGGAAGGGGGAAUCGCAGCCUAGCGUUGAACUGCUCCUUGCUAAAACAAAUAGCAUUGUCUUCAGCAUUUUCAGUAGACACGGCCUCUCCCUCAGAUAAUUCAACUGAUACACGGUUGGGAAUACAGAACCGUUCACGGAACUCCUUCACACUCAAUUUGUCAAUCGAUUUUUUGGCAUGAGCAGCACCACACGGGACAGGUGAAGUCACUUUCUGGUUAGCAGACAUCUUCUCGUUUCGUAAGACUACAUAAAAAGGUACCAACAGUCAGAACACCCUCAACAAAACCCUAGAAACCAAAAAAACACAUCAACAUUUACACACACAGUCGCAAACAAGUUGCCCAAAACAAACCAACAAAGGCAAACGCAAAACAAGAAAAAGCCAAGAACGAUGCACAUACCAAGGGUAAAUCUGGAAGAAAAGGUUGAACACCGCAAACACAGUCAACAAGUGCGAUACAGAAAUCACCGGUAGGAAAAUUCUAGGGCUUCACUCAGGAAAACAAAGCAAAAGCACAGAAGGAAGAAGAAGCAGUGCUCUCAGGAAAAACGCAGUAGGAAAAGGGCAGCAGAGUGCACAAUAUGCUAUUUAUAGGGAAACAGUCCCUCGGUAUACCAAACGAUCAGCUACACUAUCAUUGAAACGACAUGCUGCCUGGGAAUACACAGAGACAACGGCUCAUCAUAAAUGAUCCUCUCUCUCUUCACCCUCAUUCACCACGUGGCCCAAUGAGUGCAAAAAGUAGCCUCAGUUUCAAAAAAUCAAUUAUUUUUAACCCGCCCAUUUUGUACGGGCAAAAUGGGCAAGUUAAAAAGGGGGGCAUUGUAGGGACCCCUCCUCCUGAGAACACGUGCCACGCACCUCAUGGUGACACGUGCCACGUAUACCAUCCGAAUCACCCCUAUCCAGAUACACGUGACGCGCCUCUCAUAUCCGGACCGCCUCAAGGAAGUUCAAACGACACUUAUAAACAUAAGACAUCCGGACGACUUCCACCUCAUAUCCGGACCGCCUCAAGGAAGUUCAAACGACACUUGUAAGCAUAGAACAUCCGGACGGCUUCCACAAAUACAUCCGGAUGACCAGCAUAAACCAUCCGAAUAUAAUUGUCCGGGUCAUUGACUGAAGUAAGC
rnacentral:lncRNA from 1 species